AAGCGGAGGAAAAGAAACUAACAAGGAUUCCCCUAGUAGCGGCGAGCGAAGCGGGAAGAGCUCAAAUUUAUAAUCUGGCACCUUCGGUGUCCGAGUUGUAAUCUCUAGAAAUGUUUUCCGCGCUGGACCGCACACAAGUCUGUUGGAAUACAGCGGCAUAGUGGUGAGACCCCCGUAUAUGGUGCGGAUGCCCAGCGCUUUGUGAUACAUUUUCGAAGAGUCGAGUUGUUUGGGAAUGCAGCUCAAAUUGGGUGGUAAAUUCCAUCUAAAGCUAAAUAUUGGCGAGAGACCGAUAGCGAACAAGUACCGUGAGGGAAAGAUGAAAAGCACUUUGGAAAGAGAGUUAACAGUACGUGAAAUUGUUGGAAGGGAAACGCUUGAAGUCAGACUUGCUUGCCGAGCAAUCGGUUUGCAGGCCAGCAUCAGUUUUCCGGGAUGGAUAAUGGUAGAGAGAAGGUAGCAGUUUCGGCUGUGUUAUAGCUCUCUACUGGAUACAUCUUGGGGGACUGAGGAACGCAGUGUGCCUUACGGCGGGGGUUUCGACCUCUUCACACUUAGGAUGCUGGUGGAAUGGCUUUAAACGACCCGUCUUG
rnacentral:rRNA from 1 species